rnacentral:rRNA from 1 species
UACGGGGGGGGCAAGCGUUGUUCGGAAUUACUGGGCGUAAAGGGCUCGUAGGCGGCCAACUAAGUCAGACGUGAAAUCCCUCGGCUUAACCGGGGAACUGCGUCUGAUACUGGAUGGCUUGAGGUUGGGAGAGGGAUGCGGAAUUCCAGGUGUAGCGGUGAAAUGCGUAGAUAUCUGGAGGAACACCGGUGGCGAAGGCGGCAUCCUGGACCAUGACUGACACUGAAAAGCGAAAGCCAGGGGAGCAAACGGG